rnacentral:rRNA from 1 species
AGGACGAACGCUGGCGGCGUGCUUAACACAUGCAAGUCGAGCGGAAAGGCCCUUCGGGGUACUCGAGCGGCGAACGGGUGAGUAACACGUGAGCAACCUGCCCUUAGCUCUGGGAUAGCUCCGGGAAACCGGAAUUAAUACCGGAUAUGACCUAGGCCGACAUCGGCCGUGGUGGAAAGUUUUUCGGCUAGGGAUGGACUCGCGGCCUAUCAGCUAGUUGGUGGGGUAAUGGCCUACCAAGGCGACGACGGGUAGCCGGCCUGAGAGGGCGACCGGCCACACUGGGACUGAGACACGGCCCAGACUCCUACGGGAGGCAGCAGUGGGGAAUCUUGCGCAAUGGGCGAAAGCCUGACGCAGCGACGCCGCGUGGGGGAUGGAAGGCCUUCGGGUUGUAAACCCCUUUCAGCAGGGACGAAGCGAAAGUGACGGUACCUGCAGAAGAAGCGCCGGCUAACUACGCGCCAGCAGCCGC